UAUUUUAUUAGUAUAUAAGUACGUCUAACUUCCAAUUAGAAAGAUAAAUUUAAUAAAAUAA
rnacentral:tRNA from 1 species